GAUCCGGUGCUUGCAUCGGGGAUUAGUGGCGAACGGGUGAGUAACACGUGAGUAACCUGCCCUUAACUCUGGGAUAAGCCUGGGAAACUGGGUCUAAUACCGGAUAUGACUCCUCAUCGCAUGGUGGGGGGUGGAAAGCUUUUGUGGUUUUGGAUGGACUCGCGGCCUAUCAGCUUGUUGGUGAGGUAAUGGCUCACCAAGGCGACGACGGGUAGCCGGCCUGAGAGGGUGACCGGCCACACUGGGACUGAGACACGGCCCAGACUCCUACGGGAGGCAGCAGUGGGGAAUAUUGCACAAUGGGCGCAAGCCUGAUGCAGCGACGCCGCGUGAGGGAUGACGGCCUUCGGGUUGUAAACCUCUUUCAGUAGGGAAGAAGCGAAAGUGACGGUACCUGCAGAAGAAGCGCCGGCUAACUACGUGCCAGCAGCCGCGGUAAUACGUAGGGCGCAAGCGUUAUCCGGAAUUAUUGGGCGUAAAGAGCUCGUAGGCGGUUUGUCGCGUCUGCCGUGAAAGUCCGGGGCUCAACUCCGGAUCUGCGGUGGGUACGGGCAGACUAGAGUGAUGUAGGGGAGACUGGAAUUCCUGGUGUAGCGGUGAAAUGCGCAGAUAUCAGGAGGAACACCGAUGGCGAAGGCAGGUCUCUGGGCAUUAACUGACGCUGAGGAGCGAAAGCAUGGGGAGCGAACAGGAUUAGAUACCCUGGUAGUCCAUGCCGUAAACGUUGGGCACUAGGUGUGGGGGACAUUCCACGUUUUCCGCGCCGUAGCU
rnacentral:rRNA from 1 species